CCUACGGGAGGCAGCAGUGAGGAAUAUUGGUCAAUGGGCGCGAGCCUGAACCAGCCAAGUAGCGUGAAGGAUGACUGCCCUACGGGUUGUAAACCUCUUUAGGCGGGGAGCAAUGCCGGGCACGCGUGCCCGGAGGGAGAGUACCCGCAGAAUAAGCAUCGGCUAACUCCGUGCCAGCAGCCGCGGUAAUACGGAGGAUGCGAGCGUUAUCCGGAUUUAUGGGGUUUAAAGGGUGCGUAGGCGGAUUUUUAAGUCAGCGGUAAAAUGUCCGGGCUCAACCCGGGCCGGCCGUUGAAACUGGGGAUCUUGAGUGGGCGAGAAGUAUGCGGAAUGCGUGGUGUAGCGGUGAAAUGCAUAGAUAUCACGCAGAACUCCGAUUGCGAAGGCAGCAUACCGGCGCCCGACUGACGCUGAGGCACGAAAGCGUGGGGAUCGAACAGGAUUAGAUACCCUUGUAGUC
rnacentral:rRNA from 1 species